UGAGCAGCGGCGGGUUCGUCCCCGGUUUCAUCAUUUCGCGCGUUUUCCGCUGCUGCAAGGUCCAGCCCUGCAGCGUCAUGGAUUAUCCGGCUCCUGCCAAAGGACUGCACGGAGUGACACCCAUGGUGCUCUGGCGGCGAGUAGCUGUUAACCAAGCCACCGCUUUCGUCUGGAAGAAACUGAUGAAACCAUGGUCGAAAGGGUUAAAUCAACAUCGAGCUGGCGUGCACUGAGACCAGAGCGCAACGGUCCUGAUUUCCGUCGCACGUCGAAGAGCGGGGCGACAACUCAAGAAAAAAAAAAGGAAAGAAAAUAAAAGAGAACAAACGACGGGAUGCCGAGAGAUCGAUACGCGCCGAGCGGUCAGCACGACAGGAGCCCUGCGCGAGCAACAGGUAAGAAAACCACCGGUCGCGAUGACCACCAGGCGGCGCGGAGUCGUGCGCAUCGAUGACUCGGCGCCGAUAUGAUGCACGGGGUGAUUCAGCAAUAAUGCUUCCUAAAGGUGCUUCCUGAUCGAUCUAAAACCGCCGGGAUCCUGCGGUUGUGCGUGGGAGAGGUUCGCAGGACGUGGAUCGUUGUGAUAUUCGUUACUGUGGCUUCAGACUUGCCCCCGGCGCUACUUAUUACUCUUUAUUCCGCGUAAGUUGUAUGAAAACGCAGUUUCUA